GGCGUGCUUACCAUGCAAGUCGAGCGGUAAGGCACUUCGGUGUACACGAGCGGCGAACGGGUGAGUAACACGUGAGUAAUCUGCCCUUCACUCUGGGAUAAGCUUCGGAAACGGGGUCUAAUACCGGAUACGACCGACCUACGCAUGUGGUGUUGGUGGAAACCCUAUGGGUGGGGGAUGUGCUCGCGGCCUAUCAGCUUGUUGGUGGGGUAAUGGCCUACCAAGGCUUCGACGGGUAGCCGGCCUGAGAGGGUGAUCGGCCACACUGGGACUGAGACACGGCCCAAACUCCUACGGGAGGCAGCAGUGGGGAAUAUUGGACAAUGGGCGGAAGCCUGAUCCAGCAACGCCGCGUGGGGGAUGACGGCCUUCGGGUUGUAAACCUCUUUCAGUAUCGACAAAGCGCCUGUAUGGGUGGUGACGGUAGGUACAGAAAAAGCACCGGCCAACUACGUGCCAGCAGCCGCGGUAAUACGUAGGGUGCGAGCGUUGUCCGGAAUUAUUGGGCGUAAAGGGCUCGUAGGCGGUUUGUCGCGUCGGGAGUGAAAACACUGGGCUUAACCGAGUGCUUGCUUUCGAUACGGGCAGACUAGAGGUAUGCAGGGGAGAACGGAAUUCCUGGUGUAGCGGUGAAAUGCGCAGAUAUCAGGAGGAACACCGGUGGCGAAGGCGGUUCUCUGGGCAUUACCUGACGCUGAGGAGCGAAAGUGUGGGGAGCGA
rnacentral:rRNA from 1 species